rnacentral:tRNA from 1 species
GUCUUAACCGCCCCUUCUCAAUACCUGUACCCCUACCCACCCGACAGACAACGAACAAACAAACUUUGUCCUUGUAGCUUAAGCCAAAGCACGGCACUGAAGACGCCAAGAUGGAUGCCACCACCCCGAGGA